UACGUAGGGGGCAAGCGUUGUCCGGAUUUAUUGGGCGUAAAGAGCGUGUAGGCGGCCAUGCAGGUCCGUUGUGAAAACUCGAGGCUCAACCUCGAGACGUCGAUGGAAACCGCAUGGCUAGAGUCCGGAAGAGGAGAGUGGAAUUCCUGGUGUAGCGGUGAAAUGCGCAGAUAUCAGGAAGAACACCCGUGGCGAAGGCGGCUCUCUGGGACGGUACUGACGCUGAGACGCGAAAGCGUGGGGAGCGAACAGG
rnacentral:rRNA from 1 species